UACGUAGGGGGCAAGCGUUGUCCGGAUUUAUUGGGCGUAAAGAGCGUGUAGGCGGCCAUGCAGGUCCGUUGUGAAAACUCGAGGCCCAACCUCGAGACGUCGAUGGAAACCUCAUGGCUAGAGUCCGGAAGAGGAGAGCGGAAUUCCUGGUGUAGCGGUGAAAUGCGCAGAUAUCAGGAAGAACACCCGUGGCGAAGGCGGCUCUCUGGGACGGUACUGACACUCAGGGACGAAAGCGAGGGGAGCGAAUGGG
rnacentral:rRNA from 1 species